AGAUUGAACGCUGGCGGCAGGCCUAACACAUGCAAGUCGAGCGGUAGAGAGAAGCUUGCUUCUCUUGAGAGCGGCGGACGGGUGAGUAAUGCCUAGGAAUCUGCCUGGUAGUGGGGGAUAACGUUCGGAAACGAACGCUAAUACCGCAUACGUCCUACGGGAGAAAGCAGGGGACCUUCGGGCCUUGCGCUAUCAGAUGAGCCUAGGUCGGAUUAGCUUAGGUUGGUGAGGUAAUGGCUCACCAAGGCGACGAUCCGUAACUGGUCUGAGAGGAUGAUCAGUCACACUGGAACUGAGACACGGUCAGACUCCUACGGGAGGCAGCAGUGGGAAUAUUGGACAGUGGGCGAAAGCCUGAUCCAGCCAUGCCGCGUGUGUGAAGAGUCUUCGGAUUGAAGCAACUUUAAGGUUGGAAGGAAGGGCUAAUUAACCUAUUAACGUUGUUGUUUGACGUUACGAC
rnacentral:rRNA from 1 species